rnacentral:lncRNA from 1 species
ACCAAUUUAGGUGAUCUGAAGAUCGGUAAAACGAAUGCACCAUGGUGUAAAAAUGCGUGUAUAUAUUAAAUAUCUAUUAUAACAAAUUCACUAUAGUAUCAUUUCAGUAUCCACCGUACAAAUUCACCAACACAAGCGCGAUACAGAUAUCAACGAAGAGCACACAUGCACGAAUGAAAUAUUACUUGUCUAUACAACCACUUUCACAAGCUACACACUGCAUAUGUAGAGAGAGGUCCCAUCGACCAUAGAGUCCUCGAGGACAAACUGACAUUUAUUCACAUGAUUCUUCUUCCGCACGCACACCAUUCACCUGUUACUUAAUGCCUUGCCUGCAGGGUCAAAUAACGAAAUUCUUAGAAUCGACGCACGUGAGUAUCUUUGCGUCACUAUCAUGUGAAAACACCAGUACACAAAGUAUAUAUAAAGGGUUUUGUUAGAACUCAUCUACUCCCUUCAUUCCAAAAUAUAAGUCUUUCUAAUGAUUACACUAAAGGACUACAUACGAAGCAAAAUGAGUGAAUAUAUACUGUAAAAUAUGUCUAUAUACAUCAUAUGUAGUUUUCUAGUAAAACCUUUUAAAAGACUUAUAUUUAAAAACGGAGGAAGCAGUUGAGUUUUAGUUAUGUCUCAUUCAACUUUUAUAGCCAUUGAAUAUGACUAUAAGAUGCGUGUGUGCUGACGUGAGUUGUACUACUACCAUGUGUAUGUUUUUCUUUUUCAGAUGAAUAAGAUCAAAUUGCAUCUCAUCUAGAUGAGUUCUUGGCACUUCCAUACAUAAACAUUCAGCAAGGAUUAUGUAAAUCCGUGAACAACUUAGCAUGAUCGAUCGGCAGAUAGAAGUUGAUACCUAGCUAGGCUGGUUGACUCACCUGUUGGUCCUUUCUGUUUACCACCACCGGUACUUCCAUCAUCGGUUUUGUGCGUCUGUCUUGAUGCGUUAGAGUUGUUGCCGCUGCCCGACACAGCGGGCUUCAUCGACAUGCCCCCUUUACCCGCUUUAUCUACGGAGCGCACGAAUGUAAAAGGCGUCAAGAAAGUGGAAGAAAGCAUCAGAGACCAUAGAAAGGUAGUACCAGAAAGGUGGGGAUCUGAUAAAGGUAGGACUAUCCAUGCAUGCACGUAGAUGUUGAUCGUAUGAUUGACACUUACUAACCAGAGCUCGUCGACGCCGGCUUUUGGCCAACCUCCGCCUGAGUAUUCACUGGACGUCGAUUAUCCUGCUGGCUGGCAGACCCUUUCGUUUCAGGCUUAGGUUUACUUAUAAUCCUGCAUAUAUGUAUGUAUGGAGAAUAUAUUAGAACAUCAGAGUUGAUAAUUUGCUUACUCCGAUCGCGCAUGUCCAUGCAAUGGACGAAUUGGAUAUCUGGAGGUGCUGGCUCACCAUUCCCCGCCAUGCUCAGUCCUGGAAACCUUCGUGUCCGGGUGUUUUCGGCUAGCUGUGUCAUUUAAGUUAAUUUGGUGCUAACUGCUUUCAACAUUGUGGGUAUAUAUACAAUGGAGAAACGGUAAAAUCCUGGAAAUUUCAUCUGAUUAGAUAUACUACAUCAUAUAAAUGCAGUCUGCUCAUCAAGUGUUU